rnacentral:tRNA from 1 species
GUCAUUAUAAUUUAACAAAAAUAUUAGAGUGUGAGCCUAAAAACAGAAGUUUAACCCUUCUUAAUGACC